rnacentral:lncRNA from 1 species
GGUACACAAAUCCGUCUGCGGAAACGCAUUAUUCUUUGAUCAUCCACAAGGAAAUCACCGGUGUAACCAUCAACCAUUUUAGCUUGAAUCUUUUGCAACUCCACAUCGUGAGCUUGCUUUUCUUUAAUUCUUCCCAAUAGUGUAGGUUGCACCACUAAUGUCAUCAAUCUCAAGGGUGUAUUAGGAGCCACCACCUCCAACUCCAACCGCUUUAUUUGCUCAAUCAACUGCGGUUGAGUGACUACAAGCAUCGCUAAGUUUUCCGUCGAUUUCUAACUUAGCGCGUCCGCAACCACGUUUGCUUUGCCCGGGUGGUAGAGAAUCGUUAGAUCAUAAUCCUUAAGUAGCUCCAACCAUCUGCGCUGCCUCAAGUUCAACUCCUUCUGAGUAAAUAAGUAUUUUAAGCUCUUUUGAUCCGUAUAAACUUCACAUCGCUCGCCAUAAAGAUAAUGACGCCACAGCUUUAAUGCAAAGACUACGGCCGCCAAUUUCAAAUCGUGUGUAGGGUAGUUCCUUUCAUAAUCUUUUAAUUGGCGAGAAGCAUACGCGAUGACCUCCCGUCCUACAUCAAAACACAGCCCAAUCCAUUAAAGGAAGCAUCACUGUAAAUCACAUACCUUACUCCAGCGACUGGCAGGGUCAAGAUCGGGGCAGUCGUCAAUCGAGCCUUCAACUCUUAGAAGCUUCUCUCGCACGUAUCAUUCCAAAUGAACUUAGUGCCUUUGUGCGUGAGCCGCGUGAGAGGAGUAGAUAACUUAGCAAACCCCUCAACAAAUCUCCGGUAGUAGCCAGCCAAACCAAUGAAACUUUGUAUCUCGGUGACGCUAGUCGGUCGAGGCUAAUCCUUGAUAGCUUCAAUAUUCCUAGGAUCCACAGCUAUAUCCGAUCCCGAAAUCAGAUGUCCAAGGAAUGCCACCUCUCGAAGCCAAAACUCACAUUUCUUCAACUUAGCAAACAGUUUCUUUUCCCGAAGCAUUUGAAGUACUAGCCUUAAAUGCUCCUCGUAAUCCCUAUCACUUCGGGAAUAAAUCAAGAUGUCGUCGAUGAACACCACGACGAACCUGUCUAGAUAAGGCUUGAAAACAAGGUUCAUUAGGUCCAUAAAAGCUGCCGGGGCAUUAGUAAGCCCAAACGGCAUAACCGUGAACUCAUAAUGUUCAUACCGUGUUCUAAAAGCAGUCUUCGAUACAUCCCCAGGUGCAAUCUUUAACUGGUGGUAUCCCGACUGCAAGUCUAUCUUGGAAUACACACUCGAUUCUUGAAGUUGAUCAAAAAGAUCAUCAAUUCUCGGCAACGGAUACUUGUUCUUGAUCGUGACUUUAUUAAGUUCACGAUAGUCCACACACAAGCGAAGUGAUCCGUCCUUCUUCUUAACAAAUAAAAUCGGUACUCCCCAAGGUGAAAUACUCAAGCGAAUAAAACCUUUAUCAAGAAGAUCCUGUAGUUUGUGCCCUCAGCUCUUUCAACUCUGCCGGUGCCAUCCUAUAGGGCGCCUUUGAGAUUGGAGUAGUCCCAGGGACAAGAUCUACCACAAACUCAAUCUCCCUAUCAGGUAGCAUACCUGGAAGCUCCGCUGAAACACAUCACAAAACUCCCGUACUACCAGCAUAUCCUCAAUCCUAGGGGUGUCAUCCUCACCCCUCAGCACAACACUAGCCAAAUAGGCUAAGCAACCCCUGUUGAUCAACUGCCUAGCUUGAGACGAGCUGAUCGUCAUCACAAACAGCAAACUCUGGCAUCCUCUAAACACUACCUCCAUCUUCCUCGGUUAUCUAAAUGUAACCGUUCGAUUCUUACAAUCGAUAGUGGCGAAAUACUUAGUUAACCAAUCCAUGCCCAAAACCACAUCAAACUCUCCAAGUUUGUGUAGAGCUAGUAGAUCCAUGGGCAUGAUCAAAUCUCCUACCCGAACAAGGCAACUGGGGCAAAACUCUCGAAUAUCCAAAGAAUGGUCGGGGACUGCAAUACGUCCCGGAUGCAACAAGGAAACUAACGGGAUGCCAUACAACUCGGCAAACAACCGAUCUAUAAAUGAAUACGAUGCACCGGUAUCAAAUAAAGCUUGAACUCUAAUGCCAUUUAAUAAAAUGUUACCUGCCACCAUAUUCUCGGCUGCUGCCGCCUUCUCUGUCUGGGCCGCAUACAUGUCCCCGCUCGGAGCCUGUUGUGACCCCUCGAUCUGUCGCUGGAUGGGUGGUCGCCCAGGCUGGUACUGUGCCGAUGGAGUCUCCUGACUAGAUGCUGGUAAUGCCGGUGCCGAUGUAGAUGACGAUGCCGAUGACGAACCCCUCGGGCACUCGAUCCGGAAGUGGCCAUCCUGGCCACAAAGGAAACACCGGUCACCCCGCUGUGGACACUGCAGUGGGAUGUGAGGACUACCACAGAUCACGCACUGGAAAGGUCAGCGACGAUCAGGUCCUCCUCGCAGCGCCGACGAGCCGCGCCCUCGCGACUAGCUCCUAGGGUGCUUCGGCGGCCUCAUAGAGUGCAUUUGACUCGCACCCUUAACCGUGGGCCUCUUGCCCUUACACUUAUCCAAACCUUCUCUCCGCUCCUGAAUAUCCGCCGCGCCGCUCUCCACAAUGAGCGCGCGGUUCAUCACCUCCCGAUAGGUUUGGAGGUUGGAGGAUUGCACAAACCGAAAGAUCGACGGUUGCAAUCCACGCUAAAAAAUGCGGGCCUUGUCCUCGUUGUCUAGCAUGACGAAAAGCACGCAGUGAAAAAGCCGAGAGAACUCCAUCUCGUACUCGGCCACUGUCCUGUCCCCCUGGCGCAAGCCGCGCAUAUCCUGCUCCAUCUUUCUCUUAACACUAUCAGGAAAGUAGUGCUCCAAUAGAAGUUCCUUGAACCUCCUCCAAGUAAUCGCGGUCUGUGUUCGGGUUGUCUUGAAUAUCCAACCACCAACGAUAGGCCUCGCCGUCCAAGUGAUGAGUGGCGAGCCAAACUCGGUCUUUCUCCUCCACAAAGUAUCGCAGAAAAGCUUUUCCAUGUGCAUCAACCACUUCUCCACGAUCCAGUGGUCGGUUUUCUCUCCGUCGAAGAUCCUGGGAUUGCACCUCCUGAACUCAUUGAGGCGAUCCAUGAGCCGGUCCCACUCCUCUCCAGCAGCCAUCACGGGAAAAAUUGCCCGCGCUGGAGGCACAUGAACUGGUGGUGCCACAACGUCCUCCUCCCGAGGCGCAACUACGAGUGCCGCUCAUGAUGAACCGAGUGGGGGAGAUGGCGCCCUCGGUGCAACGUCGUCAACUGGCAUAGGUGGUGGGGGAAUCUGGGCCUCCCUGGAAGCUACCUAUUGCAGAAGAAAAUCUUCGAGGCGCUUCAUCCGCGCCUCCUGCCGGCGCGCCGCAUCGGCUUGCUAUCUGGCCACCUCCGCCUGCUGCGUCACCAAGUCAGUGAGGGCCGGCUGCGUCACCAAGUCAGUGAGGGCCGCAAGCUGGCUCCUCAACUCACAGACCUCACCAGAUCCGGAGGUAACGGAGGUCUUCACCUCCUCAAAGUUUGCCGCAUUAUCCACUCCAACUGAUUUAGAGCGAGUUUUCGACAUAUUACUACAACAUCAUAAAAGUGCAAGUUAGUAAAACCCACGCAAUCGCAACCCCACUCAAGCCAAUAAUACCCAAAUCAUGCGAAAUGCCAAAGUAAGGAAGCGUUUUUUACUACUAACUCCCGAUGUUACGUUGUCGGCCGCCAACGUAACCCUCCGCGAAGUUAGAAGCUAUACACUUCGAUUCAACUCCAAUAUUUUUAGAGUUAUCAUAAACCCAAUCAUAAUACUUUCGCUUACAAGUCAAAUAGACCUCGUCUCUCACGAGCCUAUUUUCUAUAAUCCAACCGGUCUAAGGUUUGCUAGGUCCAUUAAGACUUAACCCUAGGCUCUGAUACCAAAAUAAUCUGUCACGCCCCGGGACCUAGCGAAAGCCCGCCCGGUGCGUGUCCAGACCCGCCAUAUGCCUACAACAUAUAAGGCGUCUACAACAAAGCGAUAAAUAAAACAAUAAUAAAAGAGCAUCUAUGAGUAUCAGAGCAUACAACCACUAGCUUCUAGAAUAAAGAUGGAUAUAUAUAAGAACUAAUCCACUAACAUAAACAUAAGGUAGUACAACAUAAAAAUCCAAAAUACAAGUGCUAAAGGUAUCAUAGUGGUGGUCUCUAUACAUGGAUACAAAACUCUCACUCUCUACAUAGAUACAAAAAUAAAGAGAUGAACCACCUAAAAGCGAUGCUCCUCGCAACUAACUAGAGGCAACUCCCUUGCCGCGAUCCCGAGCCUCUUCCGGCGUGGAAGGCUUUGAAAGAAAACAACAAAAUAUGAGACGUGAGAACUAUUAAACAAUAGUUUCCAGUGGGCAAUUGCUGACCUAGCGAAAAUGCACCACUAGGCUAAAAGCAAAAGUAGUAAGUUCUAACAAUUAAUUGAAAGGAAUAACAUGAAUAUUUAACAUGAAUUGAACUUACUAAAUACUAUACCUCUACUUUAGCAUGAAUUUUCGCGAUUAUAAAUGCUAUUUUAAUAUAAAUAUGCAUAAGUAAAACCAACAUGACGCCCACAAUGUAACUACUAAAUGUCAUUGUUUACUAAUUUGUCUAAUGUCCACUUUGCAUUUUAGUUCAUUAGUAUCCCAAUCAUGUAGGACCUAUCCGUGGGUAGUCCGGCUUGUGCUGUGCCUAAUGGCCCCAUGUUAGUCAACAUUACCACCCAAGGAAUGAGCCUCUCCCACGGUAUCCCAUUUCGGCGCUCAAUCCCGCACGGGCGAGCUUAUGUCGCGAUGGCUAUUUCCGGAGUGCCGGCUUGUGGAGAGCGACCCUCACAAGCAUGUGCGAAUGAGCACAAUUGCAAGCAAGCGUAAAUAUCCGUCUCAAGUCCAAUGUCAUCAUGUCUAAAACAUGGUAUAAGCACUAGUGACCACAAAGGUGUAGUUCUAUGUCACAAUGUAGAGUUCAAUCCAUUUACUCAUCUAAUGCCACUUCAUGACAUUAGGUUUACUAUAUCAAACAUAAUCCAAGUCUAAUGCCCCUUUAUAACAUUAUGUUUUCUCCUAUGUCAAACAUAAGUUCUAAGUCCGAUAGCAUAUCAUACAUGUCAUUUUCACUACAUGAACCAUGAGAUAUAGAAGAAUGCUAUCCAUUGCAUAAUCACAAUGCACUAAUCUCUCUACUAUAUAGAGGUAAAAUUUCAUUAUACAUAAUAUAUGCAUUUUAAGCAUUCUAUAUUUCACAUAUGCCCUAUCUAACAUGAAUAUGCAUGAUUUUCUAUUUUACAAUAAUUGAAAAGACAUAGGUGGAAUUUUUCUUAUUCGGUGAGGUCAAACCCACCGAGACUCCUCGAAACCCUUUGUUUGCACCGACGAAGGUGCCCACACGUCUCCUAGCUCCCUAGAGAAGAUUCUAGGAGGGUUAGACAAAAUAAACGAACACCCUACGUGUUCAACUCAAAAUCAACUCCAGAAUAAGGCAAAUUAGAAAAACCCUCUCAAAUUCCAAAAGAAGGCUAGAUCACUUCAAAUCUACCCCAACGAGUUAUUCUACACCUAUCAAUUAAGCCCCAAGGGUUACAAAUCAAAAAUCCCCAAAAUAAACCCUCGAUUUCAAAUUCUAGGUUUUGAUCUUAAGAAAUCCAUCAAAACAUGAAUCUAAUAAAAGAAACAUGUUACUAACCUCUUUAGAAGCUCCAAACAAGGUUAGAAAUCAACUAGGAUUGAAGUUCUCUCCUCCAACAAGCUCCAAACCCUGCUCAAAUGCUUCUCCAAUGGUGGAAAAUCACCCAAAAAGCUAAAAAGAAGCAAAAGAGGUGAUCAACCCUCUAAAAAUCUAAGAAAAAGAGAAGAAAAUCAAAGAGGAGAAGUGGAGGGUUCACAAACCUGGUUCUUCUCUGUUCUGAGCUCAGGAAGCCCUAGAAGGGGCGUGGGAUGCUUUAUAGGUUGCCACAAUAGCAAAAACACCCCUCAAAAAUAACAGUCUGCGAACUGCACUGCGUACCGGUACACGGGAAAGAGUAUCGGUACCAAGCCACUGUACACGCAAACCCAAGCCUCGGGUUCACAAAGAAACACAUUGGGUACCGGUACAAGUCCGAUGCUGUUUCAGUACCAGGUCUGGUUCCGGUACAGGCCCGAUGCUAUACCGGUACUCUGCUCUACAGAGUCCAACCCGAGAGCAGCUAAUAAUCUUCACUUUAGAGACUUUGGUGCUAAGUUUUAAACCUUAAUUCUCGGGAUGCAAGCCAUAGGUCGGAACACUGUCAACGACCCUCCAGAAAGUGUGAAAAGGCUCGGAACACAUAUCAAAGACUCGAACCUAGCAAUUUGCAAAGGUCUAGUGUGUUACAAUACAGUAGAGAGAGAUAUAUGCAUUGUUAACAUGCAUGAGAAUAGCAUUCUAUUAUAUGGUUUGGGAAUCAUGUUUUUGUAAAGAAAAUGACUUAUAUGAUAUGCUCUUGGACUUAGAACUCAUAUUUGACAUAGUGGACAAGAAUGUCAUAAAGUGGCAUGGAACAUAGUAAAUAUGAAAACUUUACUUGAUGACAUAGUGAUAGGCCAUUGAGUCACUAGUUUUUAUACCAUAUUUUAGACAUGAUGACAUUGGACUUGAGACGGAUAUUUACGCUUGCUCGCCUGUGCGGGAUUGGGCGCCGAAAUGGGAUGCCGUGGGGAGGGCUCAUUCCUAGGGUGGGAAUGUUGACUACCACAAGGCCAUUAGGCACGACGCAAGCCGGACUACCCACGGGUAGGUCCUACAUGACUGGAAUACUAUUGAACUAAAAUGCAAAGUGGACAUUAGACAAAUUAGUAAGCAAUGACAUUUACUAGUUACACUGUGGACAUCAUGUUGGUUUUACUUAUGCAUAUUCAUGUUAGAGUAGCGUUUAUAUUCGUGAAAAUUCAUGCUAAAGUAGAGGCAUAGUAUUUAGUAAGUUCAAUUCAUGUUAAAUAUUCAUGUUAUUCCUUUCAAUUAAUUGUUAGAACUUAAUACUUUUGGUUUUUAGCCUAGUGGUGAAUUUUCGCUGAGGUCAGCAAUUGCCCACUGGGAACUAUUGUUUAAUAGUUCUCAUGCCCCCUGUUUUGUUGUUUUUCUUACAGAGCCUUCCACUCCGGGAGAGGCUCGGGAUCGCGGAAAAGGAAUCGCCUCGAGCUAGUUAGCGAGGGAUUUUACGAUAGGUGUUUCACCUCUCUUUAUUUUUUUUAUUGGGAGAGGAGGAGAGUUUUUGUACCCAUGUAUAGAGACCACCAUUUUUGGAUAUUAUAACACUUGUACUUGGGGUUAUGUUGUUGUACUACCUUAUGUUUAUGUUAGCGAAUUAGUGCUUUUAUUUAUCCUACUUGUUAUUAGAAUCUAGUUGUACACUUGCUCUAAUAUCUCUAGAUACUUGUUACUCGCUGUUUAUUUAUCGCUUUAUUGUAGAUGCCUUAUAUGUUGUAGGCAUAUAGCGGGUCUGGACACGCACCGGGCAGGCUUUCGCUAGGCCCCGGGGCGUGACAAAGAGGGAGAGAAAUUAGAUAGGAGGGAGUAUUCACUGCUGUGAACAAGAGAGGAGGGGGGUGUGGGGCUUUUAUAAGCUGCCACAAUUGCAAAUAAGCCCUUCAUUUUCUUUUAUUUGCAGCAAACCAACCUGCUGUUUCGCAGCACUGUGUACUGGUACGCGGGUGGGUGUCACCGGUACGCCCCUAUUCAUCUGUCCAAACCCGAGAGUUGCUAUUCUCGGUCUGCUACAGGGUACCGGUACUACCCAGGACAGUCACCGGUUAACAGCUUGACAGAGGCCAAACUCGAGAGCUGGCUUCUCGGGUGGCCUGCCUGGUACCGGUACUCCCCUGGUGCUUCACCGGUUAACAAUGCUCCAAACUUGAGUUUGGCAUUGUUUCGACUCCAAUUCGCGCCGAUCAAUACUAAAACCCCUCUAAAGCAUUCGGGACUUAACUUUAACCCUUCCAACAUUGUUGGAAUGUCAGAUGGACUUUGUCCAAUUGUUUCUCUCGCACACUUUGGUCAAUUUGACUGAAGUUCGAUAUAGUCUACCGAGCUUUCGGUAUAUUACACUGUUGCUUAAAACAUGCAAAUAUUACAACUAAUUCACUAAAUACUAUUCAAAUAAUACAUAAACAAGUUUUAGGCUCGUUACUGCGAUCCAUGCCGUAAUGGACCCAACCAACCAGUUGAUUUGAUUCUCUCGACAUGAUGAUGCUCGUUAUCGCUGUCUGGGGCACAAACGACGGCAGGAAGGCUUCGAAACAGUAAGAAAGUCCACCAAAGGCUUGAUCCCAGAAGUGACCGAGAUCGUCGCACUCACCGGAACCUCACCAAUCAUAGCGAAGGUGAGCACAGCACUCCGCAGGGUCCCAAGAGUGCGAUGCUCACGCUUAAGAAGUUCGUUGAAGUCUUCAAUGGCCAAAAAACCGAGCCCACCAAAACUCAUCCCUACGGGACCUAGCCUACAAGGCUAGGGCUCCCUAUAGCUGACGGCCGGCGGCACGACAGGGGAAGCUCUAGCCAAAGGUGGGUCGCCGCAUCCAUGGGAGUCGGCCGGGACCCCUGUCCGGCGGUAGAAGGUAGCGGCGGUGCUACGCGACGACGGCACUCCCAAACAACCCUGCGGCUACGGCAGAGUCCCACACUGUCGCGGCGGCUCGGGGGCGCUAGGGACGGCGCCACCGGCCUCCCAGGAACCGACGGCGAUGGACAGUGGCCGCGCGGCGCGACGGCGGCGGCUGAGUUACUCCCCACGGCCGCACGAGGUCUGCUGGCAUGUCCUUUGCUGCGGCUGCUCCCCAGGGCACCGCGGCACUGGGAAAGAGUCGAGGUUGACCGCCCAGUGUUCGGUAGUGACGCCGGCAGCAGCCGGAUACAAGAGGCUCGAGUCACCCUCUUCUAUAGCAGUACAAAGAGAGAGAGAGAGAGAGAGAGAGAGAGAGAGAGAGAGAGAGAUAUUGGCUUCUCUUCUCCAAGGCUUUCUCUCUGCUGGAAUGAGAGGAGGGGAUUAGGGUUAGGGUUAGCAAUUAACCCUAAUCCUACACUUAUAUAUAUAUAUAUAUAUAUAUAAAGUGCAACUACUAUACUCUUAUGAGUAUAGUAGCUGCACUACUCAUAAGUCCUCAUCCCUUAGAUCUCCUUCAGGAUCCGUGCGGAUAUGAUGGAGAAGAGAGGUAACAGAGCAAGUGUCACGACCCGCAACCACCCGCCUAUUUGGCCGAGGUCGCGGCGCCGCCGACAGACCGCCGAACGGACAGAGUCUCCCCUGUACGUCCUAGGCGUCGCAAUCAAUACAAGUACAAGAAGUUCCAACCAGGAACAGNGCACAAGUCACUUCUGACUUAUGUUUUACUCCUCUAAAUCCAAUAAAAAUAGUAUCUCACACUAUUUUUAUUUAUUUUUAUUUUUAUAUUUAAAAUCUGGUAGAUUACAUUCCACCGCAAUCUUACCGGAACCAUUCAAUGGCUUUUAAACCAAAUGUACACCGUAACUUCAUAAUUUUAGAAGUCCGGUACCUUACAGCAAGUAACGGAAACGUCGUUACCCCCUUCUGAAAUUGUUGAUGCUUCUGAAAUUGUUGUUGUUGUUGUUGUUGUUGAUGCUGUUGCUGGUGCUAUUGUUGUUUAUGCUGCUGCUUCUACAGUUAUGGUAGAACCAGAGAAUUGAUAAGGUACCACCAGAAAUUGAUAACCAUGCCUAAAUAGGCUGCCUCUAGUGCCAGCUUGAUUUCACAAUGCAUCAAUGCCUAAAUAACCAACUUAGAUUAACAUAGGCCACCUCUAGUCAAACAUAACUGGAACCAGAUUUUUUGGUGAAAAGUGAGAAAACAGAGGGUUAUCAAACUGGUAAUAAUGUCAGAAGCACUUGAAUCAUUAGAAAAAUUUGUACUUAUUUGCCAAGUUUCAUUAGGACACACUAACAAUACAGACAUUUAUAUUUAGCUUGUAAAUAAGAUAUCCACCAACUAGUUUCUUUGUUUUAUUUUUCAAGUAUUCUUUCACCAUCUUUUCAUGCAAUCGGUAAGUAAAAAAAAUUCUGCAGGAAAAAAGCUUUUAUAAACAUAAGCUAAAUUAAAUUCUGACAAUCCAAUAUAUUAGUUUAUAAAAUUAUCUAAGAAGAUUGUCUCUAUACAAGAAUAAACCGUGUAUACUAUAGAAUAUGAACUGGAUACCCUUCGUACAAGUAAAAAUUCUAUUUGUACAUUCUAUUACCAUGGAUUACAACAUAAUUGCACUUGACAUCAAAUUUAGAACUUUAAUCAAGGAUCUACUUCAUAUCCGCUGAGAAAAUUGAUCAAGUCUUCUUCACUUCUAAUCCAUUUGACAUCAGACCAUUUUGGGCCGUUGGUACUCCCACCCCUCGGCGACCUAAGAGGAGGGCUACUGCCGCCAGGGGCGGUUCUUGCCAGAUCUGAGAAAGGGGCGCUUAAGUAGAAGAGAAACUCGAGACAGGUGGGUUUCCCAACCGAGGUAAUAAUGGUACCAAGGUUUGGUGGUGGUGAUUUUGUGUUACAGAGGAGAGAGAUAGUGUGGGUGUAUAAAAAUAUGGGAGGGAUGAGAGAGAGGAUGAGGGGACUGCCAUUGGGAAACGGAAGAGAUAAUAGAGCCUUCGUUACCUCUUUCCUCCAUAAGAUACGCACAGAUUCUAAAGCAAAUCCUAUGGAGGAAAAGUUAUGAGUAGUGCAGCUACUAUACUCAUAAGCUAGUGUUUGGUUGGGGGUUAAGGGGUGAAAUAACCCUUUAACCCCCAACUUAUUCCCAAACACAUCAAAUAAAGGGUGGGGUUAGCUAACCCCACCCCACCCCACUACUCCAAUCAAACAAAAUAUUAUUUUACCCACUAUCCUUCUUAUCCCACCUAUUCCAACCAAACACUAUUUUUCUUAAUCCUGAACUAACUGCAUCCUCCAACCAAACACAAAAAAAUACUCUAACCCCACCUUAACCCUGAAUUUAAUCAUAUCCCUGGAAUAACUAGAUUUUUCUUAACCCCGAACCAAACGGUUAAGAGUAUAGUAGCUGCACUAUAUAUAUAUAUAUAUAU